rfam:Felis catus isolate Cinnamon breed Abyssinian chromosome X, whole genome shotgun sequence.
GCCUGGGUGGCUCAGUCGGUUAAGCGUCUGACUUCAGCUCAGGUCAUGAUCUCGCGGUCUGUGAGUUCGAGCCCCGCGUCGGGCU